UAGGGGAGGCUAGGGAUAGCAAGCCAGUAGUUAAUAUUAGGCUCUUUUCGCCGAGGGAUCGGGUUAAGGGUAGGCUAAGAAAGUUGCAUAACAAUUAAUUAAUCAAACUAAUAUUCAAGAGGAGUAGAUAAGAGAGGAUGGAUUAGAUGAAAUUGUAAACCCCCAACAACAUCCAUUCAUCCAUUGUUUUCGUUUGUCAAUUGAAUCAACUUUAUUUUGCAUGUUAAUAUUUUUGUUCUCAAAACCAAUUUAUUAAUUUUUAUUUUCAAGUCUUAUUAUUUUAAUUCACGUGAACGAGAAAGCCUUUCGAGUCUCUUGGGAAAACGAUACUUGGUCUUACCAUUUAUAUUACUUGUACGAUUUGGUACACUUGCCAAUUUGUCAACACUAACUACCGGCUUGCUAUCCCUAGCCUCCCCUAGUAAUUAAUAAUGCAUGAUAAUCGAAAGAAAAAUACAAUUGAUCGUCCUACCCCUAGUAAUUAAUAAUGCAUGAUAAACGGACAGUAGCAUAAUGCUCUUCAUGCUUCCUUGAGAAGAACCUGGAAGAAUAGAAUCUCCUAGGUCUCUCUAGCUCCUUCCUUUUGUUGCCCAUAGUUUUAACUCUUCUCGAGGUAGACAUUCUUGUAUCAAAUAAAUCAACCAAUAUUCACAGAUUCAUCAUUAGAGGUUAGUGCAUCAUCAAUUUUAUGACUCAGAUCAC
rnacentral:lncRNA from 1 species